UGGGCCGGGAGGAGAAUAAAGAGCUUGGCUUGUGCUAGGCACCGGCGGGCAAGACCCACGAGGGUCCCACAGUAGCUCUUCUUGCAGUGACCUGGGUGGUUACAGUACAGACACCAGGCAAGCUGGGUUUCAUUUUCUUAGUUAUUCUUAUCAGUGCAUGUUUGUAGUACAUGAUGAUUAUACUCUUCAUGGGGAAUUGGUACUUCUACACCCUUUUUACUUCCCCUUCCCCUGCAAGUUGGAAAGGCUAUUUUAUUUUAUUUUGGAAACACAGUCUCGCUAUGUGGUCCAGGCUGGCCUCAAACUCACAGCAACCCUCCUGCUUCAGCCUCCUGAGGACAGGCAUGCACUACCAUGCCCAGCAUCAUGAGGCCAUUUUACAGGUGAGGGGCACCAGGGAGAGGUGGCCCUCAGGAGAAGCUGGGCACUUGGACUCCAAGCCCGAGCUCCUCUUGCCUCGUAGGUGGGCUGACAGCGGCCAGGCUGCUUCCUUUCUGUGGCUCAAGCAGGGACCCUACCCACGUCACCCUAAGCCGAGCCCACGUCCACACCAGCACCUGGUUAACUCUCGGAACGUGGUUACAAGCUACAGAAGGAGCGUGGGCCAGGGCAACAUCACAACCUGGACCAGCUGGCUCUGCAGCCCAGGGAGACCCUGAAGGGGUGACAGCAUUCCCAGCAGCUGGGAAGCCAAGGGGACAAGCAGGUGGCUCAUCACAAUGUCCCCCAGAGUCACCCCUGCAGAAGUCAGAGCAGGAAUCAGUCAGAGGAUACUAGAAGACACCAGAUGUGGACACAGCAGUCAACGCUGACGCUCAGCUGCUCCUCCUGUUAAGGUGAGCAGGCCUGAGGGCAAG
rnacentral:lncRNA from 1 species